rnacentral:rRNA from 1 species
GAUGAACGCUGGCGGCGUGCCUAAUACAUGCAAGUCGAGCGAACAGAUGAGGAGCUUGCUCUUCUGACGUUAGCGGCGGACGGGUGAGUAACACGUGGGUAACCUACCUAUUAGCCUGGGAUAACUUCGGGAAACCGGAGCUAAUACCGCAUAAUAUAUUGAACCGCAUGGUUCUUUAUUGAAAGACGCUUUUGCUUCACCUUCAGAUUGGAUCGGCGCUGAUUUGCCUAGUUGGGAGGGUAAGGGCUUACAAAGGCAACGAUCCGUAGCCGACCGGGGAGGGGGAUCGGCCACACUGGAACUGGAACACGGCCCAGACUCCUACGGAAGGCAGCGUUAGGGAAUCUUCGGAAAGGGGCGAAAGCCUGCCGGAGCAACGCGGGGUGGGUGAUGAGGGUUUUCGGAUCGAAAAACUCUGUGAAUAGGGAAGAACAAAGGUGUAGGUGAAUAUGCACGUCUUGACGGUACCUAAUCAGAAAGCCACGGCUAACUACGUG